rnacentral:rRNA from 1 species
AACGAACGCUGGCGGCAUGCCUAACACAUGCAAGUCGAACGAGACCUUCGGGUCUAGUGGCGCACGGGUGCGUAACGCGUGGGAAUCUGCCCUUGGGUUCGGAAUAACUCGCCGAAAGGCGUGCUAAUACCGGAUGAUGACGUAAGUCCAAAGAUUUAUCGCCCAAGGAUGAGCCCGCGUUGGAUUAGCUAGUUGGUGAGGUAAAGGCACGCCAAGGCGACGAUCCAUAGCUGGUCUGAGAGGAUGAUCAGCUAGACUGGGACUGAGACACGGCCCAGACUCCUACGGGAGGCAGCAGUGGGGAAUAUUGGACAAUGGGCGAAAGCCUGAUCCAGCAAUGCCGCGUGAGUGAUGAAGGCCUUAGGGUUGUAAAGCUCUUUUACCCGGGAUGAUAAUGACCGUACCGGGAGAAUAAGCUCCGGCUAACUCCGUG